UGCCCAGCAACUCCUAUCCCUACCUCCUCGUGGUACUGGCCGGGGUACGAUCGGGUAACCAACCCCCGGUGUGAACUCUGGUCGUAUGCUGACAGGGAAGG
rnacentral:ribozyme from 1 species